UUAAAUACUCACAUGAGCCUGUACUUUGAAUUCUGUAAGAGCUGUGUAAAACACAGCAAUGCAUAAGUGUUUUGAAUGAAUAGAAAUGUGACACAUAGAAGAUGUGUCUGUGACUGUUCCUGUGUAACUUAUUUUCGGACUAGUUGACAAGUUAUGCUCCGGUCAUUUGAUGCUACCAAGAUGGAUGUCCUUUUGUAAUAUAGUUAAAUUUUCUUUGUACAUUUCAUUUAUCCACCAUCAUACAUUAAGCCAAGAAGAGGUCAUUAUACUAACAGGAGGUAUCAACACUGGGCCAAAGUUCAGCUCGUGGUUAAAGUUUGUAAUCCAGCCAGGGUGUAAAUAUCACUCAGCAGCCAGUCGCAGAGAUGAAGCAGCUCCAACAAAAUGAGGAAGAGGAGGGGAGAAAAACAAUUAGAUUGAAUUACAAUUGGAUGGAUGUCGAGGACAAGGAGAAGGAAGCUUAGGAUGAGGAGGAAGGAAAGCAGCAGGAGCAUCUUUGGGGAUCUCUAUGAUGUCAUUGAGAGGCGGCGGUGAGAGGGGAGACCUCGGCUCAUCCAGCUGGAGAGCCUGACCAGGAGGAGUCGAACAUUAACUCGGCUCUUCCAGGGCACCCUGCAGACUCAGCUGCUGGCAUCGGUGGGGGAGUGCGGCCGCCGCUGGGAUGACGUGAACGCCAAACAGGAGUCCAGCACAGGUCGACUGCAGCUCCUUGUCUCAGAGUGGGAGGGAUUUGAAGCACAAAAGGAGGAGCUUGUCGUUUGGUUGGCUGAUAUGGAUGUCCACCUGAGUGAGGUUGACCAGCUGACAGGAAACACCUGUGAAAAACUGAAACAGGUGUGGGGUUGUUUUGAUAUGACAUAUAUUUGAUAUGAUACAUACGUCAGAGACAUUGUCCUAAACUGGACUAACAAAGGACCAUGAGUCCAACAUGAAACUUACCUUACAUAAUGUAAGGCUGAAGUUCAUUGAUAAUUUUAAUCAAAAACUUGUUGUUGAAAUAUUUUUACUGAACAUGCAAACAUCUGCUGAUGAAAAUGUGUUGAUUUAUUGGUCUGUCACGAAGCUAUUGCUAUUUCUAAUGUGUUUUUAUCACUUUCUGAUGUUUUAUUAAUUAAACAAUACAUGUAUUCAUUGUUGUGUUAUCUAUAGAUAUAGUAUUUAUAUAUAUUUAUUUAUAGUAUAGUAAAAAUGUUUAAUUAUUACUGUUUAAAUGACUAAUAUGUGACAUGUAUUAGUAGUGAUGUUGUGCUGAGGUUUAAAAUGCCUUUUUGUCUUU